AGGCAGCAGUAGGGAAUCUUCCGCAAUGGACGAAAGUCUGACGGAGCAACGCCGCGUGAGCGAAGAAGGUCUUCGGAUCGUAAAGCUCUGUUGUCAGGGAAGAACAAGUACGGUUCGAACAGGGCGGUACCUUGACGGUACCUGACCAGAAAGCCACGGCUAACUACGUG
rnacentral:rRNA from 1 species